rnacentral:rRNA from 1 species
CGACGGCGUGCCUAUUGAAGAAUGAACCGGCGAGUUACUUCAGCUAGCGAGGUUAAGCGGAAAACGUGGAGCCGAAGCGAAAGCGAGUCUGAACAGGGCGUAUAGUUAGUUGGAGUAGACCCGAAACCACAGUGAUCUACCCAUGUCCAGGUUGAAGCACAGGUAAAAAUGUGUGGAGGACCGAACCAGUGAGCGUUGAAAAGCUUUUGGAUGAGAUGUGGGUAGGGGUGAAAUGCCAAUCGAACGUGGAGAUAGCUGGUUCUCCCCGAAAUAGCUUUAGGGCUAGCCUCAUGGCGAGAGUACAGGCGGUAGAGCACUGAACGGGGUAGGGGCCUAUCCGGCUACUGAACCUAAUCAAACUGCGAAUGGCUGUACUUAUCCAUGGGAGUCAGACUGUGAGUAAUAAGGCCCAUAGUCAAGAGGGAAACAGCCCAGACCAACAGCUAAGGUCCCCAAUGCCGUACUAAGUGGCGAAGGAUGUGGAAUUUCGAAAACAACCAGGAUGUUGGCUCAGAAGCAGCCACCAUUAAAAGAGUGCGUAAUAGCUCACUGGUCGAGAGACUCUGCGCCGAAGAUGUCCGGGGCUAAAGUACGGAACCGAAGCUUUGGCAAUUGACAUUAGUCAAUUGGGUAGGGGAGCGUUCCUGCAUGGGAGAAGCCUGACCGGAAGGACAGGUGGACAGGCAGGAAGAGAGAAUGCCGGUAUGAGUAGCGAAAAGAAGGGUGAGAAUCCCUUCCACCGAAAGCCUAAGGGUUCCUGGGCAACGAUCGUCGUCCCAGGGUAAGUCGGGACCUAAUCCGAGGCGGAGACGCGUAGGAGAUGGACAACAGGUUGAAAUUCCUGUACUGGCUGAGGCCGUUUGAGCGAAGGAGUGACACAGGAAGGAAGGCGCGCGUGCGAUUGGAAGAGCACGUCCAAGCAGGUAGGUUGGGAGACAGGCAAAUCCGUUUCCCAUGAGGCCGAGAUGCGAUGGGGAGCUUCUGGAGACAGAAGCGAAGGGGCUGGCACUAAACUGUCGAGAAAAGCUUCUAGUGAGGACUCAGGCACCCGUACCGAAACCGACACAGGUAGGCAGGAUGAGAAUUCUAAGGUGCGCGGGAAAACCCUCGUUAAGGAACUCGGCAAAAUAUAUCCGUAACUUCGGGAAAAGGAUAACCCAGCGUACGUGAAGUGCAGAAGCGCACGGAGCGGAGAUGGGUGGCAGAAGAGAGGCCCAAGCGACUGUUUACCACAAACACAGGCGUCUGCUAAAGCGAAAGCUGAUGUAUAGAUGCUGACACCUGCCCGGUGCUGGAAGGUUAAGAGGAAGUGUUAGCGCAAGCGAAGCAGUGAAUUGAAGCCCCAGUAAACGGCGGCCGUAACUAUAACGGUCCUAAGGUAGCGAAAUUCCUUGUCGGGUAAGUUCCGACCCGCACGAAAGGUGUAACGAUUUGGGCACUGUCUCAACGAGGGACCCGGUGAAAUUGAAGUACCUGUGAAGAUGCAGGUUACCCGCGACUGGACAGAAAGACCCCAUGGAGCUUUACUGUAACCUGAGAUUGGAUUCCGGUAAGAGAUGUACAGGAUAGUUGGGAGGCUUAGAUACAAGUACGCCAGUAUUUGUGGAGCCGCUGGUGGGAUACCAACCUUGUUUUAUUGGAAUUCUAACGAGAAGCGUAACGAGCUUGCGGACAGUCUCAGGCGGGCAG